AAACUGGAGUUUGCACUUUGUAGCAGAUGUGGAAGAAGGAGAAGUUUAAGAGAAAAAAGAAUAGGAGAUGGGAGAAUGGAGACACCGAAUGAAGAAUUGAGGUUGUUCGGACUUCGGAGUGAAGUCAAACCGAACCACUAGAAGAGAGGGGUAUGUUUGUAUCCCGAAUGCAUUUAGGAUUAUAUUGAUGGUCUAAACAAAAAGAUAAGUAUUCUUGUGCAAUAAUUAUUUAGCAUGUAAAGAUUGUUUAUGCAACUAAUUUUGGACUAUUAUGUGUAGAUGACUUGACAUAUAGUAGUACAACGUAAA